UUGAAGCUGCGUUAGGGAUUGCAAAGGAAAGCCCACAGCGAGGUACGAGCGAGGACUUGUAUUGUAAAGCCCGACCCUUU
rnacentral:misc_RNA from 1 species